AACUCCUCCAGGGGAUGAUUGCAGUGCAUGGAGCCGUGACGGGGCGGAGUCAGGACUUUACACCUCACCACUGCCACAGUGAGAAGUAAUGAAAUUACAGCUCACAGUCAUAGAAGAUAAAAAGGACAGAGAACAUGGGACAGGAGGCUUCAAACCAAAUAUGAGAAGUUUUGCCACCAGAGGGAGGGAGGCGCACCGUGUGGACACUGUCCCGUUCAGGAAGUACCCUUCCUCACAGCGAACAUCACAGCUGGAGUUGAAGCUGAAAUUUCCAUGGGGGUGGGAGCAGCUCAGGUUCCCAUGGGGGGGAGCUGUUAGCAUCCUACAGCGCUGGGCUGGAACAAAGACGUGCUGUCAGGACGAGAUGCUCAACCAGAUUGCUUGAUGACAAACGGCUAGUGGAGACAGUUUCGGAUGGAAGCCUUCGGGAGAGAAGUCGGCAGCUCCUGACCUUCCUCACAGCGAGUCCCCUGGAAGCCUGGGUGGCACGAGCAGUCACAGUCUUAUUGGUCCCGAUCCACGUCCAGACAUCACCCACUUUCCGGAUGCCGAUCCAGUAGUAUUUCGGGUUCCGGGGAAGGAUCUCGUUAAG